rnacentral:rRNA from 1 species
UACGUAGGGGCCGAGCGUUGUCCGGAGUUACUGGGCGUAAAGCGCGCGCAGGCGGCUCGUCAAGUCUGACGUGAAAGCCCCCGGCUCAACCGGGGAGGGUCGUCGGGGACUGGCGGGCUUGAGGUCGGCAGGGGUUGGUGGAAUUCCCGGUGUAGUGGUGAAAUGCGUAGAGAUCGGGAGGAACACCCGUGGCGAAGGCGGCCAACUGGGCCGGACCUGACGCUGAGGCGCGAAGGCGUGGGGAGCGAACGGG